GUCCCUUUGGCGCAGCGGAUAGCGCGUUGGACUUCUAAUCCAAAGGUCGUGGGUGGGUUCGAUCCCCACAAGGGAUG